rnacentral:rRNA from 1 species
UACGUAGGGGGCAAGCGUUAUCCGGAUUUACUGGGUGUAAAGGGAGCGUAGACGGCUGAGCAAGUCUGAAGUGAAAGGCGGGGGCCCAACCCCCGGACUGCUCUGGAAACUGUGUAACUUGAGUGCAGGAGAGGUAAGCGGAAUUCCUAGUGUAGCGGUGAAAUGCGUAGAUAUUAGGAGGAACACCAGUGGCGAAGGCGAUUUGCUGGGCCAUUACUGACGCUCAUGCACGAAAGCGUGGGGAGCAAAAAGG